UACGUAGGGUCCGAGCGUUAAUCGGAAUUACUGGGCGUAAAGCGUGCGCAGGCGGUUUUGUAAGUCAGAUGUGAAAUCCCCGGGCUUAACCUGGGAACUGCAUUUGGGACUGGAAGGCUUGAGUACGGGAGAGGGGGGUAGAAUUCCUGGUGUAGCAGUGAAAUGCGUAGAUAUCAGGAGGAAUACCGAUGGCGAAGGCAGCCCCCUGGGUCGAUACUGACGCUCAUGCACGAAAGCGUGGGGAGCAAACAGGAUUAGAUACCCUGGUAGUCCACGCCCUAAACGAUGUCAACUAGUUGUUGGGGGCCUUACCGCCCUUAGUAACGCAGCUAACGCGUGAAGUUGACCGCCUGGGGAGUACGGUCGCAAGAUUA
rnacentral:rRNA from 1 species